AGCUUAUCAAGAGUACUAUCUGCUAAGGGACUGGCCCGAUGAUAGUCAGCAACCGACUAAUAAACAGUACAGGUGCUAAAUCCAGCCCAUCCGACAUACGCCGGACGAAUGCGGGGAAGAUAACAC
rnacentral:ncRNA from 2 species